AUGAACAGAUUCUGUCUUAGCUGCAUAAAUAUCCAACCUCUACAGAUAUCUACUCAGGAUCAACUAGGAUUGGUCCUCUUGAUAAAGAUCCUCCUCCAAAUUGGAUCUUUUUCGCAUCUGAACUGUGUUUGGAUCGUUGAUUGACUUUUGAUCUCUCCUUGAUCUUCUUUUUCUCUUUGUCUUCUUGAUCUUGGAGCCAUCAAGAAGCAACACCUUGAUGCAGAAGAGAGGGACACCCAACCCUCUCGGGCAUUGGAUGGUGGAACGCCCAAAGCUUGGGUGUGGGAACUAGAAGAGGGAGAAAGAGGGAGCAUGGAGGCUAGAGAGG
rnacentral:lncRNA from 1 species